rnacentral:rRNA from 1 species
GGAUGAACGUUGGCGGCGUGCCUAAUACAUGCAAGUCGAACGAAGACUGUAGUAAUACUGUCUUAGUGGCGAACGGGUGAGUAACGCGUGGGUGACCUGCCCCGAAGUGUGGGAUAACAGUCCGAAAGGAUUGCUAAUACUGCAUAAUAUCCAAGAGAUUAGAUGCUUUUGGAUUAAAGGAGUAAUUCGCUUCGGGAGGGGCCCGCGUCCCAUCAGCUAGUUGGUAAGGUAAUGGCUUACCAAGGCGAUGACGGGUAGGGGACCUGAGAGGGUGGCCCCCCACAAUGGAACUGAAACACGGUCCAUACACCUACGGGUGGCAGCAGUAGGGAAUAUUAGUAAUGGGCGAAAGCCUGAACUAGCAACGCCGCGUGUGCGAAGAAGGCCUUCGGGUCGUAAAGCACUUUUUGAGAGGAUGAGGAAGGACGGUACUCUCAGAAUAAGUCUCGGCUAACUACGUGCCAGCAGCCGCGGUAACACGUAGGAGGCAAACGUUAUCCGGAUUUACUGGGCGUAAAGCGCGUGUAGGUGGUUUGGUAAGUAGGGCGUGAAAGCUCCUGGCUCAACUGGGAGAGGACGUUCUAAACUGCCAAGCUUGAGGAUGGUAGAGGGAGGUGGAAUUCCGGGUGUAGCGGUGAAAUGCGUAGAUAUUAGGAGGAACACCAGUGGCGAAGGCGGCUUACUGGACUGUAACUGACGCUGAGACACGAAAGCGUGGGUAGCAAACAGGAUUAGAUACCCUGGUAGUCCACGCUGUAAACGAUGAGUGCUAGGUGUUGGGUAGCGAUAUUCAGUGCCGGAGUAAACACAAUAAGCACUCCGCCUGGGGAGUACGUACGCAAGUAUGAAACUCAAAGGAAUUGACGGGGACCCGCACAAGCAGCGGAGCAUGUGGUUUAAUUCGAAGCAACGCGAAGAACCUUACCAAGGCUUGACAUCCCCUUGACCAGUGCAGAGAUGUACUCUCUUCUUCGGAAGCAAGGGAGACAGGUGGUGCAUGGUUGUCGUCAGCUCGUGUCGUGAGAUGUUGGGUUAAGUCCCGCAACGAGCGCAACCCUUAUCCUUAGUUGCCAGCAUAUAAGGUGGGCACUCUAAGGAGACUGCCGGUGAUAAACCGGAGGAAGGUGGGGAUGACGUCAAAUCAUCAUGCCCCUUAUGUCUUGGGCUACACACGUGCUACAAUGGUCGGUACAACGGGGAGCGAAGGAGUGAUCCGGAGCAAAUCCCAAUAAACCGAUCCCAGUUCGGAUUGCAGGCUGCAACUCGCCUGCAUGAAGUCGGAGUUGCUAGUAAUCGCGAAUCAGCACGUCGCGGUGAAUGCGUUCCCGGGUCU